GAUGAAGAACGUAGCGAAAUGCGAUACUUGGUGUGAAUUGCAGAAUCCCGUGAACCAUCGAGUCUUUGAACGCAAGUUGCGCCCGAAGCCAUUAGGCCGAGGGCACGCCUGCCUGGGCGUCACACGUCGUUGCCCCCCCAUCUACUCCUUCGGGAUUGCGGGGGGCGGAUGAUGGCCUCCCGUGCGCCUCGUCGCGCGGUUGGCAUAAAUGCCAAAUCCUCGGCGACGCACGCCACGACAAUCGGUGGUUGCGAAACCUCGGUUGCCCGUCGUGUGCGGUCGUCGCGCAUCGAGGGCUCGAAAAAAUUGCCGGGCUCCGGCUCGGCUUUCAACGCGACCCCAGGUCAGGCGGGGUUACCCGCUGAAUUUAAGCAUAUCAAUAAGCGGAGGA
rnacentral:misc_RNA from 1 species